AACCCGCAGGUGCUCUGUUCUGGAUCGAACGCAGCGGCGAGCCUUUUAAACACCUUCGAGGAGUCACGUGACACUCGUGACGCGUCAUUCAGCGCAUAAAUUAACGCCUCUACCGACUUUACUGAUAAAACAUGAAACCUGUUUUCCAAAUUUGAACUUUCAUUGUUUCCGGUUUAUGUUUAAAAAUGUGCAGGUAAAUGCUGCUAAACGUUCACCAACUAGUACAAGAAAAUACUAAUAUUAAUAAUAAUAUCUUUUGUAUUUUCUCUUGUUCAAACUUGUUGAGUUAUAGAGGUCUGGUGUUGAUUUGUAUUUCAGAAUUAUUUACUCUUUAAAAUAUUUUGAAAGGCAUUUCUAUUGUGACAACUUAUGUAAUGACAACAUACCAAUACUUUAAGGUUCACGUGUACACAACAGUCUUCAGAGAGCAUCAGGCAUCUCUUCUAUCACACAUCCUCGGUAUCCUGACACAUGUCAGCAUGAGAGCAGUUUGAAACCACUUUCAGUUCCUUUGUCAUGUGAAUGCCAUUUGUAUUAAAGUUACCCUCUGGGUGUCAGGCUCUCAGUUGAUU